CAUAAGGAUGAGGGAGAGCUCGCCUAAACUGGACUCUGUGGUACACUGCGGCCACUCCAUCAGAGGCGGGGUUUAUCCCAACAGUGAGGUAGAGU
rnacentral:lncRNA from 1 species